rnacentral:rRNA from 1 species
GUCGCAAGACCAAAGUGGGGGACCUUCGGGCCUCAUGCCAUCAGAUGUGCCCAGAUGGGAUUAGCUAGUAGGUGGGGUAACGGCUCACCUAGGCGACGAUCCCUAGCUGGUCUGAGAGGAUGACCAGCCACACUGGAACUGAGACACGGUCCAGACUCCUACGGGAGGCAGCAGUGGGGAAUAUUGCACAAUGGGCGCAAGCCUGAUGCAGCCAUGCCGCGUGUGUGAAGAAGGCCUUCGGGUUGUAAAGCACUUUCAGCGGGGAGGAAGGCGAUAAGGUUAAUAACCUCAUCGAUUGACGUUACCCGCAGAAGAAGCACCGGCUAACUCCGUGCCAGCAGCCGCGGUAAUACGGAGGGUGCAAGCGUUAAUCGGAAUUACUGGGCGUAAAGCGCACGCAGGCGGUCUGUCAAGUCGGAUGUGAAAUCCCCGGGCUCAACCUGGGAACUGCAUUCGAAACUGGCAGGCUAGAGUCUUGUAGAGGGGGGUAGAAUUCCAGGUGUAGCGGUGAAAUGCGUAGAGAUCUGGAGGAAUACCGGUGGCGAAGGCGGCCCCCUGGACAAAGACUGACGCUCAGGUGCGAAAGCGUGGGGAGCAAACAGGAUUAGAUACCCUGGUAGUCCACGCCGUAAACGAUGUCGAUUUGGAGGUUGUGCCCUUGAGGCGUGGCUUCCGGAGCUAACGCGUUAAAUCGACCGCCUGGGGAGUACGGCCGCAAGGUUAAAACUCAAAUGAAUUGACGGGGGCCCGCACAAGCGGUGGAGCAUGUGGUUUAAUUCGAUGCAACGCGAAGAACCUUACCUGGUCUUGACAUCCACAGAACUUUCCAGAGAUGGAUUGGUGCCUUCGGGAACUGUGAGACAGGUGCUGCAUGGCUGUCGUCAGCUCGUGUUGUGAAAUGUUGGGUUAAGUCCCGCAACGAGCGCAACCCUUAUCCUUUGUUGCCAGCGGU